GACGAACGCUGGCGGCGUGCUUAACACAUGCAAGUCGAACGGAAAGGCCCUGCUUUUGUGGGGUGCUCGAGUGGCGAACGGGUGAGUAACACGUGAGUAACCUGCCCUUGACUUUGGGAUAACUUCAGGAAACUGGGGCUAAUACCGGAUAGGAGCUCCUGCUGCAUGGUGGGGGUUGGAAAGUUUCGGCGGUUGGGGAUGGACUCGCGGCUUAUCAGCUUGUUGGUGGGGUAGUGGCUUACCAAGGCUUUGACGGGUAGCCGGCCUGAGAGGGUGACCGGCCACAUUGGGACUGAGGUGCGGGCCAGACUCCUACGGGAGGCAGCAGUGGGGAAUAUUGCACAAUGGGCGGAAGCCUGAUGCAGCAACGCCGCGUGCGGGAUGACGGCCUUCGGGUUGUAAACCGCUUUCGCCUGUGACGAAGCGUGAGUGACGGUAAUGGGUAAAGAAGCACCGGCUAACUACGUG
rnacentral:rRNA from 1 species